rnacentral:rRNA from 1 species
ACUCCUACGGGAGGCAGCAGUGGGGAAUUUUGGACAAUGGGCGAAAGCCUGAUCCAGCAAUGCCGCGUGAGUGAAGAAGGCCUUCGGGUUGUAAAGCUCUUUUGUCAGGGAAGAAACGGUGAGAGCUAAUAUCUUUUGCUAAUGACGGUACCUGAAGAAUAAGCACCGGCUAACUACGUGCCAGCAGCCGCGGUAAUACGUAGGGUGCAAGCGUUAAUCGGAAUUACUGGGCGUAAAGCGUGCGCAGGCGGUUUUGUAAGUCUGAUGUGAAAUCCCCGGGCUCAACCUGGGAAUUGCAUUGGAGACUGCAAGGCUAGAAUCUGGCAGAGGGGGGUAGAAUUCCACGUGUAGCAGUGAAAUGCGUAGAUAUGUGGAGGAACACCGAUGGCGAAGGCAGCCCCCUGGGUCAAGAUUGACGCUCAUGCACGAAAGCGUGGGGAGCAAACAGGAUUAGAAACCCCAGUAGUCCCA